UUCCUGCAACCCCUUCCUUAGGACCCAUUUGAUCAAUACAAGCAGGAGGCGGGGGAAGAGACACCAAGUGGACAAUGAGGUCUUCCAUGGACCAGUGUCCAUCAGGAGUGACUUCACCACCUGGCUGUCACAGGUUUGCAACACAAGAGAAAGAAGUCAUUAUGAUAUGCACCUGCUCAUAGAAGGCAGGCUCCAGCCUGGGUCUGGGGGGACUGGGCUCCCGGGCGACACAAACCUAGAGCGGCUGAGGGAUGGAGUGACAGGCCCCAGCUGAAGGCAGGAUGCCGGGGUCCCACAUGUGGUUCAGUGGGGACCUGCAACUGGCCAGAGCUGGGCCUCUUCACUUUCUCCUUUGGACCCUUGGCUACUUUAGCCAUAGUCCUAAUUCCGACAUCAGCUGUCUUGAGCGGAAGAAUGAAUACCCAGGCACCAUGCUGAGAACAGAUGCCGGCUGAGGUACCUCCCCGCCAAGGCCAGCCUGCCAACCUGAAAGUCUCAGGGAAACUAGAGAGGCCAGAAGCCACCAAGACCCCACCUAGGGCUAGCCUCAGCUUCUCACCAGCCUGCUGCCUGCUCUGGGCCACUUUGUGGUACUUAAUGCUCCACUCUCUCUUACACCAUUACAAACAUCUGCUAAACAAUAAAGCCUACAGUGCAA